rnacentral:lncRNA from 1 species
AAUGUUGACGCAAUCUAUAAAUAGUGGAACAAAAGGACCAACUUCCUCGGAGCUUUGCUGAAACUGCACAAAAAAUCGAGCUGGGGGGUUCCCUGGUCCCCGAUGUUGGGGCGGAGAGCGCGGCGCCGAGGGAGGGGGCGGCGCAGACCGGCCUAGGGGACACCUGGUCGAGCGCAGCCGCCGCUCCGCUCGAGCCCUGCGCUCCAGUGCCCCCACUGGCUGGAGAGCUCGCCCAGACCGGGGGUCUUCCUCCGUCGCUGACAGAUUUUAACCAUUAGAAGAGUACCAGUUCUGGAAAACAACCAAAGUUUCUUUGAUUGAAUGCCCAUGUAAUGCAUUGGAAUAUGAUAGGCGAUUAAGGUUUAACAAUGUUAAAAUGAAGAUAUUACUAAAAUGGCCCUCUAAAUAGCCCAACAAUUAUUAUUUUCUUUGUCCUAUGGAUUUGGCUUUGAAAGAUGUGCUGCUCUUAAUAAGCAUUAAUUCUCUCUCUCGGGCAGAAACCUACGUGUUCCUCUUCCAGAGAGCUGGUGAAGCCAAAGGCAUUCUCAUAAUGAUGCGCUACACCGACUGAUAUUUACCAACUGUGUCAAAGCUACAGGAGCCAGGUAGACACUGCUGGAACUUUAAAGGAAUCAAACAAGUCUAUAAGAAGCACUGAGCUGUGCCACUACCCAAUCAGUGUUCUUCCAGAGCACACAAACGAAAGUGGGAGGAGCCCUCCAAUGAGAGCUGUUGUGUGAUUAAUCAAUGAGGCUGACUAAAGCACACACUUAUAAUCCCAAUACUAAGAAAGACAGAGGAAGAAGGAUAUCAGCGCAAGGCCAACAAGGCUUCAAAGCAAGUACCAACCCAGUAUGGACCAUGAGACCCUAUUUCAGAAACAAAUAAUAAAAGCUUGAUGAAGCUGCAAAAAUUACUCAUUUUAUCAAAUCCCGAUUCUUGUAUACUGAACUAUACACAAAGGCACUUGUGUGGCCAGUGGGUGCGGUCAGAAAGGAGUACAGGCUCACGUGACUCAGCUACAAGCUGAGACAGCUGCUGCUAUUAGGAAAACAAUGGAAGCCAGCAGUAUGUAGAUUUAGGUAGCUGACAAAUCCUGAAAAUGAAUAAAAUGAGCUGGGUACUUCCAGAAACACGAUACUUCUUGACCAUGAAAAGGAAAAAGGCUGGGUUUUUAUGUUAAAAUUUGAAUUUUUGCAAAAUGUACUUAUAAUCUUCCCAUUAAAGAUGCUGAUAAAUAGUAAAGUUAACAAAUGUGAGCGUUAUUGGGAAAUUAUAUAAUGAAAUAUGUCAAUGUUUGGAGGUCUCUGUAAUAAUGUUAUAAAUCAUAGAGAGAAGACUUGUUUAAAAUAUAAGAAAGGGUUGGAGUGUGGCUCAGUGGGAGAGCACUUGCCAAGACCCUGAGUUCAAUUCCCAAUACUGCAGAAAUAAAAAAUAAGUAUGAUC